rnacentral:rRNA from 1 species
GACAGAGGGUGCAAACGUUGUUCGGAAUUACUGGGCGUAAAGCGCGUGUAGGCUGUCUCGAAAGUCGGGUGUGAAAGCCCCGGGCUCAACCUGGGAAGUGCACUCGAAACUUCGAGACUCGAGUCCUGGAGAGGAAGGCGGAAUUCUCGGUGUAGAGGUGAAAUUCGUAGAAUAUCGAGAGGAACACCGGUGGCGAAGGCGGCC